GAAGCUUUAAUAGCUCCCUCCUCUCAUGAGUGCUCCUAAUUAUGGAGCAUCUCAUCUCCAUGUACUAUUUGAUAUAUCAAAACCAAAGGUUGCAAUCAUCCUAAUCUAUAUAUAGCACAAGAGCGAGGUUCUAGAGAGUACCCAAAUAUAUGCAAGUUAAAACUAAGGGACUACUUAGCAUAUAUACUAUACAUUAUUGGUCCCAGAUGCACU